rnacentral:rRNA from 1 species
GAUGAACGCUGGCGGCGUGCCUAACACAUGCAAGUCGAACGUGAGGGGGUAGCAAUAUCCCUGAAAGUGGCGCACGGGUGAGUAAUACGUAGGUGACCUGCCCUGGAGUGGGGGAUAACAGCUAGAAAUGGCUGCUAAUACCGCAUAAUACGAGAAUGCUGGGAAGUGUUCUGGUAAAAACUCUGGUGCUUCAGGAGGGGCCUGCGGCCGAUUAGCUAGUUGGCGGGGUAAGAGCCCACCAAGGCAGUGAUCGGUAGCUGGUCUGAGAGGACGAUCAGCCACACGGGAACUGAGACACGGUCCCGACUCCUACGGGGGGCAGCAGUGAGGAAUAUUGGGCAAUGGGCGGAAGCCUGACCCAGCAACGCUGCGUGGAGGAAGACGGCCUUCGGGUUGGUAAACUCCUUUUACGGGGAGAGGAAGGACGGUACCCCGAGAAUAAGUCACGGCUAACUACGUGCCAGCAGCCGCGGUAAU